rnacentral:rRNA from 1 species
UUCCGGUUGAUCCCGCCGGAGGUCACCGCUAUCAGGAUCCGACUAAGACAUGCAAGGCGAAUGUGGUUCGCCCACAUGCCGAACGGCUCAGUAACACGUAGUUAAUCUACCCUCAGGUUGGGGAUAACCCCGGGAAACUGGGACUAAUACCCAAUAGGAAAUAGGUACUGGAAUGUCCUAUUUCCGAAAGCUCCGGCGCCUGAGGAUGAGACUGCGGUGGAUUAGGCUGUUGUUGGUGUAACGGACCAACAAACCUAUAAUCCAUACGGGCGUUGAGAGACGGAGCCCGGAGACGUGUUCUGAGACAAGAACGCGGGCCCUACGGGGCGCAGCAGUCGCGAAACCUUUACAAUGCCUUCACGGGCGAUAAGGGGAUCCUGAGUGCUCUAGCAUUGCUAGAGCUUUCCAGAGU